GACUCUGUGGCGCAACGGUAGCGCGUCUGACUCCAGAUCAGAAGGCUGCGUGAUCAAAUCACGCCAGGGUCA
rnacentral:tRNA from 1 species